rnacentral:rRNA from 1 species
UACGAAGGGGGCUAGCGUUGUUCGGAUUUACUGGGCGUAAAGCGCACGUAGGCGGUUUGUUAAGUCAGGGGUGAAAUCCUGGAGCUCAACUCCAGAACUGCCUUUGAUACUGGCAAUCUUGAGUCCGGAAGAGGUGAGUGGAACUCCUAGUGUAGAGGUGGAAUUCGUAGAUAUUAGGAAGAACACCAGUGGCGAAGGCGGCUCACUGGGCCGGUACUGACGCUGAGGUGCGAAAGCGUGGGGAGCAAACAGG